rnacentral:rRNA from 1 species
CCUACGGGAGGCUGCAGUGGGGAAUAUUGCGCAAUGGGCGAAAGCCUGACGCAGCGACGCCGCGUGAGGGAUGAAGGUUUUCGGAUCGUAAACCUCUGUCAGAAGGGAAGAAGUUGCAUGGGGCCAAUCACCUGUGCAUUGACGGUACCUUAAAAGGAAGCACCGGCUAACUCCGUGCCAGCAGCCGCGGUAAUACGGAGGGUGCGAGCGUUAAUCGGAAUUACUGGGCGUAAAGCGCACGUAGGCUGUAUGUCAAGUCAAGGGUGAAAGCCGACGGCUCAACCGUGGAACUGCCUUUGAAACUGGCAAACUGGAGUAUGUGAGAGGGCGGCGGAAUGCGUGGUGUAGGAGUGAAAUCCGUAGAUAUCAGGAGGAACAUCAGUGGCGAAGGCGGCCGACUGGCACAAAACUGACGCUGAGGUGCGAAAGCGUGGGUAGCAAACAGGAUUAGAUACCCGGGUAGUC